GUCUGGAUGGUAACGGAACCCAUAAUGCAGCUGUUUGGUUGAUUGAUUGACAGCUGUCUGUGGAUUCCGUGCCCCUCCUUUCUUGCAGGAGCUCAUUGAGAU
ensembl:miRNA dre-mir-462 microRNA 462